rnacentral:rRNA from 1 species
AAUCCGGUAAUCGAUGGCCAUACUAUGGUGACAUUGGAACACACGACGAGAUAGGAGGAUCGAGAGGCCGGCAGUGUGAUGGAUAUCUGGCAAAAUUCGCCCUUAGAGUUUGAUCAUGGCUCAGAUUGAACGCUGGCGGCAGGCCUAACACAUGCAAGUCGAGCGGAUGACGGGAGCUUGCUCCUGGAUUCAGCGGCGGACGGGUGAGUAAUGCCUAGGAAUCUGCCUGGUAGUGGGGGACAACGUUUCGAAAGGAACGCUAAUACCGCAUACGUCCUACGGGAGAAAGCAGGGGACCUUCGGGCCUUGCGCUAUCAGAUGAGCCUAGGUCGGAUUAGCUUGUUGGUGAGGUAAUGGCUCACCAAGGCGACGAUCCGUAACUGGUCUGAGAGGAUGAUCAGUCACACUGGAACUGAGACACGGUCCAGACUCCUACGGGAGGCAGC